rnacentral:rRNA from 1 species
GACGAACGCUGGCGGCGUGCUUAACACAUGCAAGUCGAACGGAAAGGCCCUGCUUUUGUGGGGUGCUCGAGUGGCGAACGGGUGAGUAACACGUGAGUAACCUGCCCUUGACUUUGGGAUAACUUCAGGAAACUGGGGCUAAUACCGGAUAGGAGCUCCUGCUGCAUGGUGGGGGUUGGAAAGUUUCGGCGGUUGGGGAUGGACUCGCGGCUUAUCAGCUUGUUGGUGGGGUAGUGGCUUACCAAGGCUUUGACGGGUAGCCGGCCUGAGAGGGUGACCGGCCACAUUGGGACUGAGAUACGGCCCAGACUCCUACGGGAGGCAGCAGUGGGGAAUAUUGCACAAUGGGCGGAAGCCUGAUGCAGCAACGCCGCGUGCGGGAUGACGGCCUUCGGGUUGUAAACCGCUUUCGCCUGUGACGAAGCGUGAGUGACGGUAAUGGGUAAAGAAGCACCGGCUAACUACGUGCCAGCAGCCGCGGUGAUACGUAGGGUGCGAGCGUUGUCCGGAUUUAUUGGGCGUAAAGGGCUCGUAGGUGGUUGAUCGCGUCGGAAGUGUAAUCUUGGGGCUUAACCCUGAGCGUGCUUUCGAUACGGGUUGACUUGAGGAAGGUAGGGGAGAAUGGAAUUCCUGGUGGAGCGGUGGAAUGCGCAGAUAUCAGGAGGAACACCAGUGGCGAAGGCGGUUCUCUGGGCCUUUCCUGACGCUGAGGAGCGAAAGCGUGGGGAGCGAACAGGCUUAGAUACCCUGGUAGUCCACGCUGUAAACGGUGGGUACUAGGUGUGGGGUCCAUUCCACGGGUUCCGUGCCGUAGCUAACGCUUUAAGUACCCCGCCUGGGGAGUACGGCCGCAAGGCUAAAACUCAAAGGAAUUGACGGGGCCCCGCACAAGCGGCGGAGCAUGCGGAUUAAUUCGAUGCAACGCGUAGAACCUUACCUGGGUUUGACAUGGAUCGGGAGUGCUCAGAGAUGGGUGUGCCUCUUUUGGGGUCGGUUCACAGGUGGUGCAUGCCUGUCGUCAGCUCGUGUCGUGAGAUGUUGGGUUAAGUCCCGCAACGAGCGCAACCCUUGUUCACUGUUGCCAGCACGUUAUGGUGGGGACUCAGUGGAGACCGCCGGGGUCAACUCGGAGGAAGGUGGGGAUGACGUCAAGUCCUCGUGCCCCUUAUGUCCAGGGCUUCACGCAUGCUACAAUGGCUGGUACAGAGAGUGGCGAGCCUGUGAGGGUGAGCGAAUCUCGGAAAGCCGGUCUCAGUUCGGAUUGGGGUCUGCAACUCGACCUCAUGAAGUCGGAGUCGCUAGUAAUCGCAGAUCAGCAACGCUGCGGUGAAUACGUUCCCGGGGCU